CCGAAGCCCGUGGCCUAACCUUUUUGGGGGGAGCGGUCGAAGGUGGGAUUGGCGAUUGGGACGAAGUCGUAACAAGGUAGCCGUACCGGAAGGUGCGGCUGGAUCACCUCCUU
rnacentral:rRNA from 1 species